UAACAUGUAUGCAAUGCUUAGCACAUGAU
rnacentral:piRNA from 1 species